AUUGAACGCUAGCGGGAUGCUUUACACAUGCAAGUCGAACGAGUGGCGGACGGGUGAGUAAUAUAUCGGAACGUGCCUGGUAGAGGGGGAUAACUACUCGAAAGAGUGGCUAAUACCGCAUACCAUCUGAUCUGCCGAUAUCGGAUUAGCUAGUGGGUGGGGUAAAGGCUCACCAAGGCAACGAUCCGUAGCUGGUUUGAGAGGACGACCAGCCACACUGGGACUGAGAAACGGCCCAGACUCCUACGGGAGGCAGCAGUGGGGAAUUUUGGACAAUGGGGGAAACCCUGAUCCAGCCAUCCCGCGUGUAUGAGAAGGCCUUCGGGUUGUAAAGUACUUUUGGCAGAGAAGCGGUAUCUGCAGAAUAAGCACCGGCUAACUACGUGCCAGCAGCCGCGGUAAUAC
rnacentral:rRNA from 1 species